GAUGAACGCUGGCAGAAUGCUUAACACAUGCAAGUCGUGGGCACAGCUGUGCUUGCACAGCCUAGCAAAUGCGCACGGGUGAGGAACGCGUAAGGAACUUGCCCUGCAUACAGGAAUAACAGACGGAAACGACUGAUAAGACCUGGCAAGGUCAGACGUACACAUGUCCAGCCUGAAGAAAACAGAUGCUGUGGGAGUGACUUACGUCUGAGUAGCCUGUUGGUUGGGUAACUGGCCACCAAGGGGGUGAUAGGGAGCCGGCCGGAGAGGCUGCACGGCCACAAGGGGACUGAGAUGCGGCACUUACUCCUACGGGGGGCAGGAGUGGAGAAUAUUGGACCAUGGGGGCAACACUGAUGAAGCACUUCUGUGUGCACGACGCUGGUUUUAGGGUUGUAAAGUGCUUUCAGCAGGGAAGAAAAAAAUGACGGUACCUGCAGAAGAAGCGACGGCUAACUACGUG
rnacentral:rRNA from 1 species